UAACCGUAGAUCUGAAUGGGUACCCGAAGAUGGGAGCUUGGUCCCUGAUGUUAGCGGCGGACGGGUGAGUAACACGUGGGUAACCUGCCUGUAAGACUGGGAUAACUCCGGGAAACCGGGGCUAAUACCGGAUGGUUGUUUGAACCGCAUGGUUCAGACAUAAAAGGUGGCUUCGGCUACCACUUACAGAUGGACCCGCGGCCCAUUAGCUAGUUGGUGAGGUAACGGCUCACCAAGGCGACGAUGCGUAGCCGACCUGAGAGGGUGAUCGGCCACACUGGGACUGAGACACGGCCCAGACUCCUACGGGAGGCAGCAGUAGGGAAUCUUCCGCAAUGGACGAAAGUCUGACGGAGCAACGCCGCGUGAGUGAUGAAGGUUUUCGGAUCGUAAAGCUCUGUUGUUAGGGAAGAACAAGUGCCGUUCAAAUAGGGCGGCACCUUGACGGUACCUAACCAGAAAGCCACGGCUAACUACGUGCCAGCAGCCGCGGUAAUACGUAGGUGGCAAGCGUUGUCCGGAAUUAUUGGGCGUAAAGGGCUCGCAGGCGGUUUCUUAAGUCUGAUGUGAAAGCCCCCGGCUCAACCGGGGAGGGUCAUUGGAAACUGGGGAACUUGAGUGCAGAAGAGGAGAGUGGAAU
rnacentral:rRNA from 1 species